GCCCAUUGAAGCCUAAAGAUGGUCAUGAACCAAAACGGACAAUACCUCACAUAUGUGGAGGCGAAGGCAUAAGCCAACUAUCUGAGCCAUUCGACCUCUUGACCCAUGACCAUAACAUAUAUGUAUAUAUAUCAUUUUAUCGAAUAUAAUAUGGUUAAUGAUGUAUGGUAAGUGAGAAUAUCAAGUUAGUUCAAACUGGAACGGAUCAAUAUAUUAAAGCUCCAUAUGUAAGGUUGAAAGAUGAGAAGUAUAUUUUUCUUUUAAAUUUUGAUCGAUAGGAGGUGGAUGC
rnacentral:lncRNA from 1 species